rnacentral:rRNA from 1 species
AUUGAACGCUGGCGGCAUGCUUUACACAUGCAAGUCGAACGGUAACAGGCCGCAAGGUGCUGACGAGUGGCGAACGGGUGAGUAAUGCAUCGGAACGUGCCCAGUCGUGGGGGAUAACGCAGCGAAAGCUGUGCUAAUACCGCAUACGAUCUAUGGAUGAAAGCGGGGGACCGUAAGGCCUCGCGCGAUUGGAGCGGCCGAUGGCAGAUUAGCUAGUUGGUGGGGUAAAGGCCCACCAAGGCGACGAUCUGUAGCUGGUCUGAGAGGACGACGGGCCACACUGGGAGUGAGCCACGGCCCAGAGUCCUACGGGAGUCAGCAGUGGGGAAUUUUGGACAAUGGGCGCAAGCCUGAUCCAGCAAUGCCGCGUGCAGGAAGAAGGCCUUCGGGUUGUAAACUGCUUUUGUACGGAACGAAACGGCCUGGGUUAAUACCCUGGGCUAAUGACGGUACCGUAAGAAUAAGCACCGACUAACUACGUGACAGCAGCCGCCGUAA